rnacentral:tRNA from 1 species
GGGCCCGUAGUCUAGCGGCAGGACGCCGGCCUUGCAAGCCGGAGAUCCCGGGUUCGAAUCCCGGCGGGUCCA